CCUACGGGUGGCUGCAGUGGGGAAUAUUGCACAAUGGGCGCAAGCCUGAUGCAGCCAUGCCGCGUGUGUGAAGAAGGCCUUCGGGUUGUAAAGCACUUUCAGCGGGGAGGAAGGCGUUAAGGUUAAUAACCUUGUCGAUUGACGUUACCCGCAGAAGAAGCACCGGCUAACUCCGUGCCAGCAGCCGCGGUAAUACGGAGGGUGCAAGCGUUAAUCGGAAUUACUGGGCGUAGAGCGCACGCAGGCGGUCUGUCAAGUCGGAUGUGAAAUCCCCGGGCUCAACCUGGGAACUGCAUUCGAAACUGGCAGGCUAGAGUCUUGUAGAGGGGGGUAGAAUUCCAGGUGUAGCGGUGAAAUGCGUAGAGAUCUGGAGGAAUACCGGUGGCGAAGGCGGCCCCCUGGACAAAGACUGACGCUCAGGUGCGAAAGCGUGGGGAGCAAACAGGAUUAGAUACCCUUGUAGUC
rnacentral:rRNA from 1 species